AUAUAAGGGCCACCACCACCCAGAAGAAUCCCAGGAGACCGUGCAGGAGAACAAGGAUUCGCGAUCAUCCUCCUCCAAACCCGUGUCAGCACAAGAUGUUUCAGCUUUGGAAACUUGUUCUCUUGUGUGGCCUGAUCUCUGGGACCUCAGCAGGUAUUCUUCAGAACCUGAAGGAGGACUUGAACCUGCUUCGGGAUACCAAUCGGUGGCAAGCCAUCCAGGACAAGUUCUACCAAACUAAAGUUGUGUUGAAUGAUGCCCUUUCUAAAACAAUUGAGAGCAUUGCUUUGGGGUUGAAAAUCAGUAAUGUCCACAUCUUGAAUUUCAAAGCCGAACCAACUCCUGAUGGCCAAGGCGUUCAACUGAGGUUCCCCA